rnacentral:rRNA from 1 species
CACGCCGUAAACGAUGUCAACUAGCCGUUGGGUUCCUUGAGAACUUAGUGGCGCAGCUAACGCAUUAAGUUGACCGCCUGGGGAGUACGGCCGCAAGGUUAAAACUCAAAUGAAUUGACGGGGGCCCGCACAAGCGGUGGAGCAUGUGGUUUAAUUCGAAGCAACGCGAAGAACCUUACCAGGCCUUGACAUGCAGAGAACUUUCCAGAGAUGGAUUGGUGCCUUCGGGAACUCUGACACAGGUGC